CACGUAGGGUGCGAGCGUUGUCCGGAAUUAUUGGGCGUAAAGAGCUCGUAGGCGGUGUGUCGCGUCGGCCGUGAAAACCUGCAGCUUAACUGUGGGCUUGCGGUCGAUACGGGCAUCACUGGAGUUCGGCAGGGGAGACUGGAAUUCCUGGUGUAGCGGUGAAAUGCGCAGAUAUCAGGAGGAACGCCGGUGGCGAAGGCGGGUCUCUGGGCCGAUACUGACGCUGAUGCGCGAAAGCCAGGGGAGCGAACGGG
rnacentral:rRNA from 1 species